GAUCAUGGCUCAGGAUAACGCUAGCUACAGGCUUAACACAUGCAAGUUGAGGGGCAGCAUGGUCUUAGCUUGCUAAGGCCGAUGGCGACCGGCGCACGGGUGAGUAACGCGUAUCCAACCUGCCUUACACGUCUUGGACAGCCUUCUGAAAGGGAGAUUAAUACAAGAUGUUAUCAUGAGUAAGCAUUUUCGCAUGAUUAAAGGUUUACCGGUGUAAGAUGGGGAUGCGUU
rnacentral:rRNA from 1 species